rfam:Dipodomys ordii contig_29012, whole genome shotgun sequence.
AGGAAGGUGGCUCAGUGAUAGAGUGCUUGCCUUGCAAGCAUGAGGCCCUGGGUUUGAUUCCUCGGCCCCCCUU